CACAGCCUCAGUGUGUCUUGUGACACGGGGACCAUGACAGAAAUUCAUCUUCCAGAAAGUCCCAGAGCAGCAUCCACACUCCCUGAAAAGACCAAGAUGUGAGGUGUCUGCUGUUGAUUCCAGCUUCCACCUCAGUGACAGUGCAAGCUCAGUGAACUGUUCAAGGUAAAAAAAAUUAAAACAUCUGAAUUUUUAAGAUAUUAACAAUUAAAUAAGUAUGUGAUUACAUCAUGACAUCAUGAAGGAGGCUACUGAUUCUGGCCCUGUGACACUUGGUGGUGACGUGUGAGCUGAUUCACCUGGUAAAUAACUUUUACAUUAAAUAUUUUGUUUUUGCUAUCAAAAGUAAUUUAACUAAUAACCUGCAUUAUUGCAGGACACUCAGCAAAAUAUGGACUCUACACCAUGAGGCAGGCACACGUUAAUACUCUAUAAGAGCACAUAAGCCUGGCUGAUCACCUGAUAACUCCUGUCAUCUGGUUGUGACAGCAUGAGGAUGUCCUCACACACCUGUAACCUAUCAGCUCAUCUGGCAGAAUAGAGAGAGAAGAGACAACACCACAUCUCCUGUUCCUGGAAAGCCUUCAGCCAUCCUUCGAUGACUGAGAACCUCCAUCAGCUCUGUCUCCUGUCUGCCCACAAUUAUUAUAAUAAAUAUUGUGUUUGACAAGUUU